rnacentral:lncRNA from 1 species
AGUUUUUAGUUUCCUAUGAAAAAUCUUCCAAAAUCUUAAAAAAUGUAAAUUUUUAAUGUUAUUUCCCUGCUUAAUACCCUUCUAUGACUUUUCAUUAUACAGGAUAAAAUGCAUACUCCUGAGAAUAUAGUCACCUGGAUUCUGUCCACUUUUUUGUUUCCAUUCAGCCGUUCUUCACACACACUAUGGAAGCCAGUCUUGACAAGGCUCCAGAGAAACAAGAGGGACCCAACCAGCGACACUGCUUGCAAGAUAGCUACUUCAUCCCAGCUAAAAUCAGCUCUAACUGCAUUAAAGUGACCUGCCCUCAUUAACAUCUCAAAUUCUGCACAUGUGCACAUGCUACUACAUGCGCCUUAAGAGAACAUGACUACUGGGCAAUAAAGCCAAAUCUCCUGCCUUUCCCUUAACUGAA